UUUUUAGUCAUACAGGAUGGAGGAAA
rnacentral:piRNA from 1 species